GGUUUCCCUAGUACGGCGAGUGAAGAGGGAAGAGCCCAAGAUUGAAAGCUGGCGUCUUCGGCGUCCGCAUUGUAAUCUCAAGAAGUGUUUUCCGCUUCGGACCAUGCCUAAGUCCCUUGGAAAAGGGCAUCAUAGAGGGUGAUAAUCCCGUUCAUGGCAUGGAGCGCCCGAAGCUUUGUGAUACGCUUUCUAAGAGUCGAGUUGUUUGGGAAUGCAGCUCAAAAUGGGUGGUAAAUGCCAUCUAAGGCUAAAUAUUGGGGAGAGACCGAUAGCGAACAAGUACAGUGAUGGAAAGAUGAAAAGAACUUUGAAAAGAGAGUUAAACAGUACGUGAAAUUGCCAAAAGGGAAGGGUAGGAGGUCAGAGAUGCGUCUUGGAAUUCAGCCUUGCUUCUGCUUGGUGUUUUUUCCAUUUUGCAGGCCAACGUCGGUUUUGGGCACUGGAGAAGGGUGGAAGGAACGUGGCACCUCUCGGGGUGUGUUAUAGCCUUCUACUGGAUACAGCGACCGAGACCGAGGACAGCAGCGUACUCGCAAGAGCGGGCCUUCGGGCACCUUUACGCUUAGGGCGUUGGCAUAAUGGCCCUCUACCAC
rnacentral:rRNA from 1 species